rnacentral:lncRNA from 1 species
AGUUCAACGUUUCUAAUAACUUGUUGAACGGAUCUAUACCUAAGAGUCUGCAGAAAUUUGAUUCUGAUUCGUUUGUGGGAACUUCACUCUGUGGCAAACCGCUUGUUGUCUGCUCUAAUGAAGGAACUGUGCCAAGCCAGCCAAUUUCUGUUGGAAAUAUUCCCGGAACUCUUGAAGGAAGUAAAGGGGAGAAGAAAAAGAAGAAGCUUUCUGGUGGAGCAAUAGCUGGAAUAGUGAUUGGAUGUGUGGUUGGUUUGUCCCUGAUUGUUAUGAUUUUGAUGGUUCUCUUUAGGAAAAAGGGGAACGAGAGAACAAGGGGCAUCGACAUUGCAACCAUCAAGCAGCAUGAAGUUGAAAUUCCUGGCGAGAAAGCGGCCGUGGAAGCACAGGAGAAUAGGAGCUACGGAAAUGAGUACUCCC